rnacentral:tRNA from 1 species
GCCCGGAUGGCGAAAUCGACGCACCGGACUUAAAAUUCGGAGCCGCAAGGCAUACGGGUUCGAUUCCCGUUCCGGGCACCA